rnacentral:rRNA from 1 species
UGGGGAAUCUUGCGCAAUGGGCGAAAGCCUGACGCAGCCAUGCCGCGUGGAUGAUGAAGGUCUUAGGAUUGUAAAAUCCUUUCACCGGUGAAGAUAAUGACUGUAGCCGGAGAAGAAGCCCCGGCUAACUUCGUGCCAGCAGCCGCGGUAAUACGAAGGGGGCUAGCGUUGCUCGGAAUUACUGGGCGUAAAGGGAGCGUAGGCGGACAUUUAAGUCAGGGGUGAAAUCCCAGAGCUCAACUCUGGAACUGCCUUUGAUACUGGGUGUCUUGAGUGUGAUAGAGGUAUGUGGAACUCCGAGUGUAGAGGUGAAAUUCGUAGAUAUUCGGAAGAACACCAGUGGCGAAGGCGACAUACUGGAUCAUUACUGACGCUGAGGCUCGAAAGCGUGGGGAGCAAACAGGAUUAGAUACCCACGUAGUCCCUGAGCGGGC